GGGACGAACGCUGGCGGCGUGCUUAACACAUGCAAGUCGAACGGAAAGGCCCGCUUGCGGGUACUCGAGUGGCGAACGGGUGAGUAACACGUGGGCAACCUGCCCCUAGCUCUGGAAUAACACCUGGAAACAGAUGCUAAUACCGGAUAUCGACCUUCGCGGGCAUCCGCAUUGGUCAAAAGUUUUUCGGCUAGGGAUGGGCCCGCGGCCUAUCAGCUUGUUGGUGGGGUAAUGGCCUACCAAGGCGACGACGGGUA
rnacentral:rRNA from 1 species